rnacentral:ncRNA from 1 species
AGGAGGAAGGGCAUAGCAAUUAAUGAAAUGCUUCGGGGAGUUGAAAAUUAGCAUAGAUUCGGAGAUUCCCAAAUAGGGCAAUCUUUCGAACUGCUGCUGAAUCCAUGGGCAGGCAAGAAAGAACCAUGCGAACUGAAAGAUCUUAGCAGCCAGAGGAAAAAAAAGUAAAAGCGAUUCCUGUAGCAGCGGUGGGCAUAUAUAUAUAUAUAUAUAUAAAUA